GAUGAACGCUGGCGGCAGGCUUAACACAUGCAAGUCGCGGGGCAGCACGGGGGUUGCUUGCAACCCCUGUUGGCGACCGGCGCAUGGGUGAGUAAUGCGUAUCCAACCUGCCCUUCACCACGGGAUAACCCGGCGAAAGUCUGACUAAUACCGUAUGUUUUCCAUUGACGGCAUCCGAGUUGGACGAAGGGCUUGGGGGUGAAAGGGUGGGGAUGCGUCUGCUUAGGUUGAUGGCUGGGUAACGGCCCACCGUGGGCACGAUCGGUAGGGGGGCGGAGAGGAAGGACCCAGACACUGGAACUGAGACACGGUCCAGACUCCUACGGGAGGCAGCAGUGAGGAAUAGUGGUCAGUGAGCGUAAGCCUGAACCAGCCAAGUAGUGUGCAGGAUGACGGCACUAUGGGUUGUAAACUGCUUUUAUGAGGGGAUAAAGUAGUAAACGUGUGGGUUUUUGCGGUUACCGCAGAAAAAAGGACCGGCUAAUUCCGU
rnacentral:rRNA from 1 species